GGCUCAGGACGAACGCUGGCGGCGCGCCUAAUACAUGCAAGUCGAGCGAGAAGGUGUAGCAAUACACUUGUAAAGCGGCGAACGGGUGAGGAAUACAUGGGUAAUCUACCAUCGAGUGGGGAAUAACCAGCCGAAAGGUUGGCUAAUACCGCGUACGCCUCCGGAUCUUCGGGUUCGGAGGGAAAGCCACACUGUGAGUGCGGCGCUCUUUGAUGAGCUCAUGUCCUAUCAGCUUGUUGGUAGGGUAACGGCCUACCAAGGCUUUGACGGGUAGCUGGUCUGAGAGGACGAUCAGCCACACUGGCACUGCGACACGGGCCAGACUCCUACGGGAGGCAGCAGUAAGGAAUAUUGCGCAAUGGGCGAAAGCCUGACGCAGCGACGCCGCGUGGGGGAUGAAGGUCUUCGGAUUGUAAACCCCUUUCGGGAGGGAAGAUGGAGCGAGCAAUCGUUCGGACGGUACCUCCAGAAGCAGCCACGGCCAACUUCGUGCCAGCAGCCGCGGUAAUACGAAGGUGGCAAGCGUUGUUCGGAUUCACUGGGCGUACAGGGUGUGUAGGCGGUUUGGUAAGCCUUCUGUUAAAACUUCGGGCCCAACCCGGAAAGCGCAGAGGGUACUGCCAGGCUAGAGGGUGGGAGAGGAGCGCGGAAUUCCCGGUGUAGCGGUGAAAUGCGUAGAGA
rnacentral:rRNA from 1 species